rnacentral:lncRNA from 1 species
CAUUAUUUCUUAACUGAUGCAUCGAUCAACACUGUGAAGAUGAGUUUGUGCUAUGAGACAGUCCCGAUGUUCUUAGAUUUCUGCCAUCACGUUGCGGUAUUCAGCGACAGUUUACGUUACAAGAGCCAGAUGAAGUACUGAUUCUUUUUAAUUCUGCUGCUACAUUCAGCAGUGGGCCAGAAAACACUUUAAAGUUUAAAAGGAAUUGGAUAUAGGUUUAACUUUUUCCCCAGUAUUUCUUAGCUAGCUCAAGGCAAAGUUAUUAUUAUUUUCGUGUAAUUUAUCUGAAAAACUCUAAGUGCCAACACUGUAAACAUUUUGUAUUUUCUCAACUAAACCUUGUCUGAGAACAAGGGUAAGAGCAAAGAUAAGCAGGAAUAAUUCUGUGUAUAGUAAAGCUGAUCUAUCUAUCAGCUUGUGGUUUACAUUUAAAUAUGAUUGAAAAAUAAUUUUUAAAAGUCCAUGCUACAGUUUUAAAGACUAUUUCUGUGCACUUUUAAUUCUGGACACAAUUUUCAAAAUUGCAUGAUGGAGGUAAGAAUUUAAAAAACCCACCAGAAUGUAAAUAACAGGGAAGAACACUUCCAACCGAAAGCGUCGAACAUACAUUUGUGUGCAGAAAUC